AACAAUUCGGCUCAACCCACGAACGCGUGCGACCCCCUUCCCAUCACGAUCCCACUUCUCCCCCUCCGUCACGAUCUGUCAAUCCCUCUCUCUCGGAUGAGAACGGCCCCGAUGAGGCGAUGAGAGCCGCUUCUUGCAGCCACAUCCACAUCUUAGACGGCAUGCGGCCGGGCAACUGCCGCCGAUGAGGCGAGGAUUUCCCUCCUGCAUCUCAACCGCUUCUUGCAACCACAUCCACAUCUUAGACGGCAUGCGGCCGGGCAACUGCCGCCGAUGAGGCGAGGAUUUCCCUCCUGCAUCUCCUCUUAGUCAUGUCCUCCGGUGUAGAGGUUUAGAGGGGCGGCACUCAGAGAAGACCAGAGGCGAGAUAGUACGGCGGCCGCCUGCCUCUCUCCGAUGCCCAUGCUCGAGCUCUCUCUCUCCGCCGCUCAUGCUCGUUCUCUCUCUCCGCCGUUCAUGUUCCUCUCUUCCUCCAGCCAUGUGCUCUCCGGCUAGCGAGGGGCAGAGGCAGAGCUGGAUGCAGCUCGGACACGACGCCAACGACCUUGAUUGCGGGGGGCGAAGAAGGAACAAGCCAGAUGGCCCGGUGAUGCUAGAUCUAUUGGCUGCCUCAAUCCCAUGACUUCGUUCCGAAUGACAGCAUAAGAGUGUCGCCCCAGCUGGCAGCGGAAGGCAGUGCCGGGAGAGGAGGCGCAGGCCAUUGCCAGGCAUGCUUUGCUCGAUUUUUUUAGGCUUCAGUGCUUUCUAUGAAUACACGUAACAUGUGUUGACUUGGUCUAUUAGAAAGAGAGUAUGAAUGUUGUAACUGGAAGAGCAGGGAUUGUUGCGGGGUGGAUGUGGUGCUUGCCUCUUGUCCUUCACUGCCCAGUUCACAAGCUGGCCAGCACAACCAAACACGGCCAGCCCCUCAUGACCUGCUCGUCUGCUCGAACCAGUAGGACAUGACGGAGGUGGCAUGGAGGUCCAGCAGUUGGUCAGAGCCUGUAGAUGUAAAUCUGGUGAUAGGCGGUGUGGCCAUGCCUUAGGGCACUGUCGCACAGACAGCUAGUAGCGGGAGCCAGCCAUGGACGACUCGGCAAGCAAGCAGCAAGCAAAAUUAAGGAAGGGUGAUGUAAGCCAGCGAUAGACGUUCACUGCUUCCACUGUUACUGUCGACACUGGGCGACACAAGCAGGCUACAUGAAAAGGUCGAUUCUUUUCUUCAUUUACCUUCCGAAAUUCCACUUCACUGGUUAAAGCACAUCUGAAAUUUGUAGUAUAUGUAACUCCAUGCUGACCAUGCCUGAUAAUAAAAGUGGUAUAUAUGUAUCUGCUGAUUUUGUCAUUAACGUAAACAGAAUUAUGCAUCUCCAUAGUAGCUAUGCCUACUGAUAUACUGUUUUAACUUGGGAGUAGUAUAAAUGGUUUAGAAUUUAAAUUAUUUUGUGCUCUCCUUAACUAGGCCCGUCCAUUGUUUUCUUUCUAGCUCCGCCACUAUCUAUGUCACAUGAUAUUCUCCCCCACGCAGCAGGGCGCAUCAUCGGUUUGCUCACAAGCUCCCAACGGAUGUUCUCAGUGAUCCCCAUGCCUCCUUUCCUAUUGUUACUCUCCUCCCCCACCAGCUGAAAUGUCCCUGUCAUGUCGGGAUGCAAGGGCAGGGCACACGUCCAUGGCGCGUCUGCAUCAGUCUGCAACGUUCGUAACUCUAAACGCAGGAUUACCAGUGCACCGCGACCGCGACUUUUUGGCUACCGAUAUGAUCUUUCUCUCUGCAUACUGGUUCUGCACACAACAACCACAUCAUUUUGGCAAAAAGGUUCACAACCUCCCUAUCAAGAAUAAAGUGGUUCAGAAACUUCUAAUUGUAAGUUCAGAGGUGUAUCUAAUCGAGAAAUGCUACCCAUCACAAAAGUAUACGAUGUCCUUGAAAUCAAGCUCAGCUUAUGCUAAUAGAGCAAGCAGUAGGAACAUCUUUCUAUCCAUGCACGCAUAAUUUGUAGCGGAAAGAAUGAGGCUAGCGAGCAACACAAACAAAUCUUAAGAUUCCUCUCAUAUUUAAAACACACUUGGACAAGAAAAGCAUCCACACUAUUGAUACAUGAAUGCCAUGCUUAUUAAAAGUGCACCGACCUGGUAUGUGUUACUUGUAAGAUCAAUACACAAUGACUGAAUGAACAUGACAUUACUGAGGAAAUCCACCCACUUGGCCAUGUAUUGGACUGCGGCAGCAAACUGCACAGACUGAGCUAAAUUAAUGUUUUUCUGUAUUUCUAAUGGACAUGAAAAAUGCUUCUCUAUGGCAAAUUUGAGUGAGCUAAAGAAAUUAUAUUUAUUAUUUAGCAAACUUAAUAGAUUAGCAUGUUUGCAACAGGGCAAUAAUCAGUUGUUGCAUUAUACAUUAAUUAUUAUAUUUACUGAAACAUUAGGCGUGUCUAUGUGCACAACUAGGAUCUCAGGGAUCAAUGUCAUGUAUCAGUGCAUGAACUUACUUGAGCAUUGGUUGUUCUUUUCAAGGUCUAUAUAUGCUAUGGAUAUAAACCCAAGAGCUAUCAAGAUUGCAUGGAUAAAUCUUUAUUUGAAUGCACUAGAUGAUGAUGGUCUCCCAAUCUACGAUGCAGAGGGGAAAACAUUGCUUGAAUGCAUACCGCAAUGCAAUCUACGACGAAUUUGAUAUUCUUUCUUACUGUAGAGAUAACAAGAUAGAACUUGAUCACAUUGUUGGAUGCAUACCACAGGUAUAGUCAGGUUUUAGCAUCUGUUGUGAAAGGGGAUUAUAGUGGACCAAAACUUAAUGAAAAUGCUCUAGAUAUCUGAAUUAGAUUCUUAACCACAAUCAAAAGGCGAUGUCAAAGAUUUUAACCCAUUUCUUGAUGUCAAAGAUUCUUAACGAAAAUCCACCUAUUUCUUGAUGUUUUCUACUGUUGACCUAUUUGCAAGUUUUAACGAAGGAAUCAGUCCAGGAGUUACUCAUUUACUUUCUACAUCUGCAACAUAUUUUGUUCUUUCUUGUUAUUGUCAUUUAUUUCACUAAGACAUGGCUGGAGUGAAACACACUGAUACUAAUCUAAAAGGUCAUUGGUAUCACUUUAUUGUUGGAGGACAUGGUGAGAAAAUAUUUUUAUGUCUACUUAUUUUCUUUCCAGAAAAUCUGCCUCAUGCGGUGUUAAAAAUAUACUGGUUCUCAACAUGUUACUAGGAUUUAGUUGUACAAAAAGAUUUUUGUGCAUGACGACAACAUGGAGUUCUCAAAUAAUGUGUUGAUUCCUUGGCACCGCAUAAGUGUUUUCAAGCUUAUUCCAGGAGAUACACUUGCAUCUUUCAUCUAUGUGCCUUGUGAAGUUAUGAAACAACAAAUGCAUGUCCAAGGCUCCAUCAAAUCAUGAUCACGAGCAUUAAGUGGUAGAGAAGGAUACGAGUCACCUGUCAAGGCUGACACCUCAAUCUGCUCUGAAGAUGAAUCGGUGGAAGAUGGUGGCGGUGACACAUGUGAGUGCGUCGGACCGCUUUGUGCCCCGGACCCGGUAUGUGGCUCGUUCGGGACGUCUGGCUUUAGAUGUUGGCUUAGGUAAGAGGUGUGGGUAUUUGGCCCAGCUUGCACCCCUUCAUCAUAUAGAUAGGAGUAGCGGCAGAUGUUGCCAAGAUAGCGGAUUCAGGCAUAUUGUUGUAUUACUUUGUAAGGUCAUCAGGAAUAAUCAAUAAAAUGGUCGCAUGCAUUUCCUAGAUGCA